GUUUCUAAUAACUCAUUUCCUUUCCUUCCUAAAUCUUGAUUAUGCAACUGCUCUAUGUACCUAUUACUAUAUUACCAAAUCAAUGAUGCUAACUUCUGCCUUUCUGUGCUCAGUUUGAAAGAAAAUAUCCGAGAUAGUUUAUGUUCUUAAUCCUUUACCUUAUAUGGAUUUGUAGCCUUUGUCCUUUCCUCUCAUUGAAGCCCAUAUCUUUUUCAAUGUAUUCUUCUCCAAGAUCGUCUCUAUGAUUUUUCUAUCAAUCGCAUGUAACAGAUAAUUCUUCACCUUGAGAUAUUUAAGCAUCAUCUCAUAUGGAGUUUUCUGUUCUGCUGCUGUUAAAGGUCCUCCACUCCCCAAUCGUGCAACUCCAUCAUCAACAAGACUCCAAUACUCCUUUGAUCUAAGAAAAUUUCCAUCAAGAUUCUGUCAUUUGUGUUGCUUGCCAUUUCCAAACAACUACAAAAUUGAACUCACAUUUUUUUUCUUGAUUGCUUUUUCUUCUCGGUCCCCAAUAAAGAGCUUUGAUGCCAAUUGUAAGAUGUUGCUUGUGAUAUGCGAAUUGUGGGCGUUGCGGUAUGAAACAAAAACGAUCCUCAAGGCAUUAGAUGUUCACCUCAGAAAUGUGGAAUCUCCCGCCUCAGUCAUGCGGAGAUUCAAUUACAACAACGGCAGCAACUCUUAAGGUGGGUCGAUUUGUGUGAUGGGCGUCUUACUUGCAUUGGUAUAUAACAUUCUGCUUAUUCAACCAUUUUCAGUCAUGAGUUUAAGACUCGUUAGCUUAUGUAGACAGGUCUACAUUCCUCUUCAGCUCUCUACCAUAUGACAAUUUUGAAAUUACACAAUCAUGAACUGAAAAAUAAAUUUAA
rnacentral:lncRNA from 1 species